UAUCAAUACUCUCUAUAUAUUAUUAGAAUAAUAUAUGCAAAAGGAUCCCAGAGUGACAGUUUCCCAACGGUCGUUGUUCUAUUUAACACUGUAACAGGACAGCAACAUUGUGGGAAAAGACACAA